CGCUGGCGGUAGGCCUAACACCUGCACGUCGAACGGCAGCACAGUAAGAGCUUGCUCUUACGGGUGGCGAGUGGCGGACGGGUGAGGAAUACAUCGGAAUCUACUUUUUCGUGGGGGAUAACGUAGGGAAACUUACGCUAAUACCGCAUACGACCUACGGGUGAAAGCAGGGGAUCUUCGGACCUUGCGCGAUUGAAUGAGCCGAUGUCGGAUUAGCUAGUUGGCGGGGUAAAGGCCCACCAAGGCGACGAUCCGUAGCUGGUCUGAGAGGAUGAUCAGCCACACUGGAACUGAGACACGGUCCAGACUCCUACGGGAGGCAGCAGUGGGGAAUAUUGGACAAUGGGCGCAAGCCUGAUCCAGCCAUACCGCGUGGGUGAAGAAGGCCUUCGGGUUGUAAAGCCCUUUUGUUGGGAAAGAAAAGCAGCAGGUUAAUACCCCGCUGUUCUGACGGUACCCAAAGAAUAAGCACCGGCUAACUUCGUG
rnacentral:rRNA from 1 species